rnacentral:tRNA from 1 species
AAGGGAGACCUAAUUCAGGUAUGGGACGAAAAAAAAGUAGUCGCUACCAAGAAUCAAUCCCAAAAGGUCGGAGCGAGGCGAAAUUGGCUUUCAAACUAGGUUCUGGGUUCACACAAGACCUGAAUCAGGGACAAGGGCUAUUAGCUCAGGUGGUUAGAGCGCACCCCUGAUAAGGGUGAGGUCCCUGGUUCGAGUCCAGGAUGGCCCACCUGCACAGGUGGCAAAAACAAGAGAAGCUCCGAAUCAGCACCUUAUCUUACUUAUAUAGUAAGAGAGAAUGCUGGCUCUGAGUUCAGAGUCCAGAGGAACCUUGAAAACUGCAUAGAGCUAGGUGAAAAAGCCAAAAAAGAAGACCGCAA